CAGCCGCCGCGGGAAUACAGAGGGUGCAAGCGUUAAUCGGAAUUACUGGGCGUAAAGCGCACGCAGGCGGUCUGUCAAGUCAGAUGUGAAAUCCCCGGGCUUAACCUGGGAACUGCAUUUGAAACUGGCAGGCUAGAGUCUUGUAGAGGGGGGUAGAAUUCCAGGUGUAGCGGUGAAAUGCGUAGAGGUCUGGAGGAAUACCGGUGGCGAAGGCGGCCCCCUGGACAAAGACUGACGCUCAGGUGCGAAAGCGUGGGGAGCAAACAGGAUUAGAUACCCGAGUAGUCCCUGUCUCUUAUAC
rnacentral:rRNA from 1 species